rnacentral:miRNA from 1 species
UUAAGUAGUUAAUACAAGGGCGA